rnacentral:rRNA from 1 species
UUUGCCAGCAGCAGCGGUAAUUCCACCAGCUCCAAUGUAUAUAAAUUAAAGUGCAGUUAAAAAAAAGUAGGUGAAUUUAGGAAUGGGUUGGUCGGUUGGUCGGCAUUGGUCUGUACUGGCGGAAGAAUUUCUACCUUUCUGGAGAACCCAUCUAUGUUA